rnacentral:rRNA from 1 species
GAUGAACGCUGGCGGCGUGCUUAACACAUGCAAGUCGAACGAUGAAGCCCAGCUUGCUGGGUGGAUUAGUGGCGAACGGGUGAGUGACACGUGAGUAACCUGCCCUUAACUCUGGGAUAAGCCUGGGAAACUGGGUCUAAUACCGGAUAGGAGCGUCCACCGCAUGGUGGGUGUUGGAGAGAUUUAUCGGUUUUGGAUGGACUCGCGGCCUAUCAGCUUGUUCGUGGGGUAGUGGCUCACCAAGGCGACGACGGGUAGCCGGCCUGAGAGGGUGACCGGCCACACUGGGACUGAGACACGGCCCAGACUCCUACGGGAGGCAGCAGUGGGGAAUAUUGCACAAUGGGCUCAAGCCUGAUGCAGCGACGCCGCGUGAGGGAUGACGGCCUUCGGGUUGUAAACCUCUUUCAGUAGGGAAGAAGCGAAAGUGACGGUACCUGCAGAAGAAGCACCGGCUAACUACGUG